rnacentral:rRNA from 1 species
CAGAUGUGAAAGACCCGGGGCGUCAACCUCCGGAAUAGCAUUUGAAACUAGGCAAACUAGAGUACUGUAGAGGGGGGUAGGAAUUUCAGGUGUAGCGGUGAAAUGCGUAGAGAUCUGAAGGAAUACCGGUGGCGAAGGCGGCCCCCUCGGACAGAUACUGACACUCAGAUGCGAAAGCGUGGGGAGCAAACAGGAUUAGAUACCCUGGUAG